rnacentral:rRNA from 1 species
GUCCACGCCGUAAACGAUGUCAACUUGGAGUCUGUGCCAUUGAGCGUGGGCUCCGAAGCUAACGCGAUAAGUUGACCGCCUGGGGAGUACGGCCGCAAGGUUAAAACUCAAAUGAAUUGACGGGGGCCCGCACAAGCGGUGGAGCAUGUGGUUUAAUUCGAUGCAACGCGAAGAACCUUACCUGGCCUUGACAUGUCUGGAACCUUGUAGAGAUACGAGGGUGCCUUCGGGAAUCAGAACACAGGUGCUGCAUGGCUGUCGU